GGAUUAAAGAACAUUUAGCGGGACAAAAAGGUUAUGCCACGAGUUAUUUACGAGUAUAACUAGAUGUUCUGUUGAGGCACCUGAUUCGUUUGGUACCGAACUUAUGAUGGUUUCUGUAAGUGAACCGAUUGACCCGAGUUCUAGUUUGUUAGUGAAUCAUGAAGAAGAGGGUAGUAGACAAGGUGGGAGAUUGAAAGGAUGUAAAGUUAGAAAAGGGUUGAAUGCGUCAGCUGUUAGUGAUAUCGUGUAUGAUGAUUCAAAACGUGCUAACCAUCAAGUUAGUAUAGCUAUUGGACGGUUUUUGUUUGAUGCUGGUGUACCCUUAGAUGCUGUGAACUCUGUCUAUUUUCAGCCAUGCUUGAUGCUCUUGCUUCACAAGGGUUGGGAGUUGUGGGUCUGUCUUAUCAUGAUCUUCGAAGCUGGAUUUUAAAGAGUACGGUUCAAGAAGUGAGAAGUCAGAAGUGAUGUUGAAGUUGGGGAAAGAGUGGUUGUUCUGUUUUGGUUGAUAGUCGGUGUCAGAUAAUGGUAAAAUGUUUCUGAAACUUACAGUGUAUUGUCAUGAAGGGCUAAUGUUUCUGAGGCGACAUUGUGGAUUCUACGGAAGCUUUGUUUUUUUUUUGCUUAAGGAAUUUGUUGAAGAAGUUGGGGUCCGAAAUGUGCUGCAAAUCGUUAAUAAUAAUGAACCACGUUAUGUUGAAUUAGGGAAACAGAUUGCCGAUAGUUUCCCUACUGUAUUUUGGACUCCAUGUGCAACUCAUUGUGUGGAUUUAAUAUUGGAAGAGAUUUCAGAGAACUUGAAUUGGUAUGUACGAUCGUUGAACAAGCUAAAUCAAUAUCAAGAUUCAUUUACAAUCAUAGUCUUGUUUUGAACAUGAUGAUAAGGUAUACUUUUGGUGUUAACAUCGUUGAAAUGUAUGGUAAGUGUCAAGCACAACCUCCAAUCCAUGGUAACCUCAGAGGAGUGGAUGGAGUGUUCAUACUUCAAGAGAGAAGAGGGUUACGCUACAUUGGAUUACAUUAGCAAUCCAUCUUUUUGGUCCAUGUGUACAGUUAUCACCCUUUUAAUGGAUCCUUUAUUGAGACUCUUGAGAAUCGCCAGUGGCAAAAAGAAACCAGGAAUGGGGUAUGUUUAUGCAGGGGUAUACCGGGUAAAGGAAGUAAUCGAGAAACUUAUCGCAAAGAAAGACUAUGUGGUUUAUUAGCCCAGUGGCCACCAUCCGCCACUUUUCAGAAGGGAUCCUCGGUUCGAGUCUUGCCAAAGGCAAACUUGAGAUAAUCAGGGGAUUAUUAAGUGGUUGAGAUUUGCCUGGACACUAGCUUGGCUGGUGGAUUAGUGGGUACCAAAUGGUACAUGGGAUCAGGGGGUUCCCAUCCAAUUACCCUUUUUAGAUGGCAACAACUUUCUCGCCUCUUCACACUGCAGUAUUGUAUCAAUCUGAUGUUUUUCUACAUUACUGAUGGGGAUAUAAAUCUUCAGAUCAGAUCAUCAGUUUAUAAUUGUGUUGAAAGGUUAGUUCCUGACACUACAAUCCAAGAUAAAAUUGUCAAAGAGACAACAUAUCAUCGUCAUUCCGCUGGCGAUUUUUGAAGGAAAAUCGUCAUAAGAAGCAGGGAUACCUAUAUCUAGAUCGGCAUAGCUGAGUGUUGGUCAACAUAUGGAGGGGCUUGUCCAAAUUUGGCUCGUUUAGCCAUUCGUAUACUUAGUCAAACUUGCAGUUUGGCUGGGUGUAAACCAAACAAGAUCUCUUUAGUCUUUUCUGCAGAUUCUUAAAACAGAGAAUUCGUUAGAACACCAAAGGCCCAGUGACAUCGUAUUUGUUCAAUAUAACAUGAGAUAAAAGCAAAUGUUUCUCAAUAAAGAGAAGGAGAAUCCUGAUCCCAUUUUAUAUGACAACAUCCAUUAUGUUUAGGCUUAGGUAACAGCGAGAGAGAUUCACACAGAUGACAUUAGUAGGUCUGAUUGGAUGACAGUUGAUCCACCGUUGGGUAAUCUCAUGCUUUUAGGAUCCCAAUUUGAUGAUAUUGAAGCCUUAGGUGAAGGGUUUGACGAUCAUGAAACUUUUGAUGCAUUGAAAGAUGUAAACGGUGAUAACAAUGUACGAUAAGUAGGUAAGUUUUGUUAGCUUUCUUUUCUUCUUCUUAGUUUUGGACAUCAUAUUCUUUCUAAAUUUGAAGAAAUUGGUGAUCUAUAUAACUAUAUUCUGUAAUGUAAAUGCUGCUUUGAUUCCAUUAUUGUCAUAAUUUAUGUAUUAAUCAAAAGUAAUAUUCUUAUUC